GGAUCAUAAGGCUUUCGAUAGUUAUUUUGUUUAUCACAACACUUUAGUUCUGCUUUCUUAUGUUGAAAAGUUUGGUGUUACCUUCAUUUACUAUCUUGGCCUUCCUAAAGACAAGAUUACUACUUCGAUUUUUGAUAUUAAAUAUCUAGAUCCAUAUGUGGAAGAUGAGGGAUUUGAUUUCCUUUCUUGGUUUAGAUAAACAAGCCGCAUGUUUCUCUUCUGCUUUGUUACUCUAUCAACUUUAAGCUAAUUUAGGUGCAAUUGAAUAGGGUAAGCAAGUGUUUGGGCUUUUCUUCUACCCUAUUACUCUAUCAACUUUGUUUUAAGCUUGUUAUUAUCUAUCGAUGGUUGUCUUGUUGACUCGAUGAAUAUUGA
rnacentral:misc_RNA from 1 species